AAUCUUAAUAUAAAGAAAAUUUAAAGAUAAAUGCUUACCUUUUCCGACUUGGUGCUGGGCGGGAAAAGCGUCCACGGUUUCGAUGAGGACUAGGAGUCCGACGACAGCGAGCAAGAGUUGAAGCGCUAAGUUAUUCAUCUGCAGAAACAAAUAUUAAUCACAGAAAACAAUGCCGAGUGGCAAUUUUAUGGGACCAAACAAGCCCGGACACAGGAUUAAAGGCAUACCGGAAGUACAUAGUAGAAAAAAAAAGGCAUACCGGAAGUACGUGGUAGAAAAAAUGCUUAUUGUUAAGGUAAUUGAAAGUUCGUCCUUACAGAAGCAAAGCUAUUGUAAACAUGUGUAAUGUCAAUGCUAUUUUAUGAUUGAUGACAGCGUGAACGUGACGGAAAUACAUUGGCCGUAGACACGCCGGGAUCGCUGGAAGUACUUGCUCUGGUCGAAGUCAAUGCUAUAUAACUGACCUUAUUGACGAAAUGGAAAAUACACCUACAAUUUAAUUGUAUGGAAAUCUUAUGCAAUCCACGAACGUAGGAUAUUACUUUGGCGAUAAAGUUUCACCCUCUAAUUUAAAACAACGUUCUGGCGCCUGCGCUCUUUCCGGUUUAUGUUUUUCAUUACCAAUCGGCGUUUAAACUGGUGAGCCAUAGCGCCGAACUUUAAACAGUAGCCCAUUCGCAAUUUGUCUUUCUACGCUGUAAAAUAAUAUAUAAUUCUUUAAAUGUUCCGUGAGGAACGAAAAAAAAUCAAGCAACCACACCCGAUCAUGUUGGCAAAAAGUCUUGUAUUGGCAGCGAUUACUUAUCAGUUUUUCUAACAAUUAUAUUUUGAAGUUGGAUUGGCACUUUUGUAUGAAGUCGUAUUGAGAAGAACGUUCGCGAAGUUUUGCAAAUCUUGUGUCGAUUCUCUUUUUAUCAUCCGGGUGCCUAAGUGCCACCUGUUACAGAACAAAAUAAAGGUUACAAAC